CGGUGCUUAGGGCCUUUUUUAGGUCUUCAUUUUUCUUUUUCAAAGAAUCAACUUCAUCUUCGACCAUAGCCUUCAUUUUCUUUUCCAAGGCCAGAGCUCUAAUAUUACUCUGGCAUUUCUGUUUGAUCUCCAUAUUCUGGGCCUUUUGGUCGUCUAUUACUUUGCCCAUUUGAUCUUUCUCGUCUGUUAAAUCUUUCACAGUUUUACCCAUUAAUUCGUUUUAGUCCUGUAGCUUUGUAUUACGUGUCAAAAGACCCUCAAUCCAACACUGCGAGGAUUGAUGUUGUUCCUCGCGUUCUUUAACCGCAUUGACGGCCACACCUCUACUAUUUUUUACUGUUCUCUCAAGCUUUUCUAUUUUGGAAUCAUACAUUUCCAUGACCUCUUCUAACUUUCUGUCUGCAGCAUUGGCUUUGUCUUCCAGUUUUUUUAGUAUUUUCCUCGUAAAAUUGCUGCAUCUUAUUUUUAUUUUUUAUUUUCACUCGCUAGAUACGGGACUGACUUGAAUGAGGAAAAGAAAAGGGAGAAAGGAAGAGGGGGGAGAAACAGUUGGAGAAGAGGGAUGGGGAUAAAGGGCAGAAAAAACCUCGCGUUUUAUGGUGACUCCUGAAUUUCCUCCACUUCCUCCUCAUCCUUAAAAUACUCCCGAUGGGUGUCCACAGCAUUGUUCAGUCUGAUGGCAUCCUCCAUGACCUGGACAACAUGAUACCAUUAGAAUGACAUCAUAGAAUGAGGGGUGUGACCAGAGCCAGAAAUGCACUCAUUGAUCCUUUUGUUGAUUUAUUGCUAUCAUCAUACACUACUGAUCAACUAAUCGAAGUGCAAGUGUCACAGUCUGUUAUUUAUUCUCCCUCCAUGCAAGGCAACAUCCAGGGGUGGUUCUGUGGGUUCAGCAUGGCUGCCAGCCAUGCUGAACCAUCUGGUUCACUGGUGCUUAGGGCCUUUUUUAGGUCUUCAUUUUUCUUUUUCAAAGAAUCAACUUCAUCUUCGACCAUAGCCUUCAUUUUCUUUUCCAAGGCCAGAGCUCUAAUAUUACUCUGACAUUUCCGUUUGAUCUCCAUAUUCUGGGCCUUUUGGUUGUCUAUUACUUUGCCCAUUUGAUCUUUCUCGUCUGUUAAUUCUUUCACGGUUUUAUCCAUCAAUUCAUUUUGGUCCUGUAACUUUGUAUUACGUGUCAAAAGACCCUCAAUCCAACACUGCGAGGAUUGAUGUUGUUCCUCGCGUUCUUUAACCGCAUUGACGGCCACACCUCUACUAUUUUUUACUGUUCUCUCAAGCUUUUCUAUUUUGGAAUCAUACAUUUCCAUGACCUCUUCUAACUUUCUGUCUGCAGCAUUGGCUUUGUCUUCCGAGUUUUUUUUGUAUUUUCCUCGUAAAAUUGCUGCAUCUUAUUUUUUUCCUCUUUGUGGCGUUUCAAUAAUAAUUCAACAACUUGGCUGUUGUGAAAUUCCUGACGUACCACCUUUUCUUUUGCUGUUUCCAGCAGUCCUUGCAGGACUUCGACUUCGUCCUCAUCAUCUGUGAUUAGGUAUUGAAACAGCUGUUUACUCCCCAGAUGUUUGUGUCCUCAAAGAAAUUCCAUUUUGAUUUAUGUGAAUGUAUUGUGCAGGUACUUUCUCUGCUUCGCCCUCAUUGCUUGCUUUAUCUGAGAACAUAAUCUGCCUUCUUUUAGCUUGGGGUAGGCCUCAGUUUAU
ensembl:lncRNA